AUUGAACGCUGGCGGCAGGCUUAACACAUGCAAGUCGAGCGGAGCGAGGGUGCUUGCACCUUAGCUUAGCGGCGGACGGGUGAGUAAUGCUUAGGAAUCUGCCUAUUAGUGGGGGACAACAUUCCGAAAGGAAUGCUAAUACCGCAUACGCCCUACGGGGGAAAGCAGGGGAUCUUCGGACCUUGCGCUAAUAGAUGAGCCUAAGUCGGAUUAGCUAGUUGGUGGGGUAAAGGCCUACCAAGGCGACGAUCUGUAGCGGGUCUGAGAGGAUGAUCCGCCACACUGGGACUGAGACACGGCCCAGACUCCUACGGGAGGCAGCAGUGGGGAAUAUCGGACAAUGGGCGGAAGCCUGAUCCAGCCAUGCCGCGUGUGUGAAGAAGGCCUUUUGGUCGUAAAGCACUUUAAGCGAGGAGGAGGCUACUUAGAUUAAUACUCUGGGAUAGUGGACGUUACUCGCAGAAUAAGCACCGGCUAACUCUGUGCCAGCCGCCGCAGUAA
rnacentral:rRNA from 1 species